GACGAACGCUGGCGGCGUGCUUAACACAUGCAAGUCGAACGGAAAGGCCUCUUUCGGGGGGUACUCGAGUGGCGAACGGGUGAGUAACACGUGAGUAACCUGCCCUUGACUUUGGGAUAACUUCAGGAAACUGGGGCUAAUACCGGAUAGGAGCUCCUGCUGCAUGGUGGGGGUUGGAAAGUUUCGGCGGUUGGGGAUGGACUUGCGGCUUAUCAGCUUGUUGGUGGGGUAGUGGCUUACCAAGGCUUUGACGGGUAGCCGGCCUGAGAGGGUGACCGGCCACAUUGGGACUGAGAUACGGCCCAGACUCCUACGGGAGGCAGCAGUGGGGAAUAUUGCACAAUGGGUGGAAGCCUGAUGCAGCAACGCCGUGUGCGGGAUGACGGCCUUCGGGUUGUAAACCGCUUUCGCUCAUGACGAAGCUUUGUGUGACGGUAGUGGGUAAAGAAGCACCGGCUAACUACGUG
rnacentral:rRNA from 1 species